UGUUCUAUUAAUGUGCCAGAGAUGAUUGCAUAAGUAAUGAAGGUAAAUGUCACUUAUAAAUUAUUCUAUUUUUCCAUAACGUUUAUUUUUCUUGCCUUUAUUUUAGAAAAUCACAAAUUAUAUUAAUUUGAUGAAGAUCUUCACCUAAUUUGUGUGCUGUUGAUAGUAAUGAUCUAGAUAAAAGUAUAAAAGUCAUUUUUUCUAAAAAGUAUAGAAUCUGAAUAUUUUUCAUUAAAAUAUACAUUGCAAUAAAUGUAAAACACUAAGAAAUUAAGGCUGGGCGAGGUAGCUUUGGGAGGCUUAAUUUUGGGAGGCCAAAAUUAAGCACUUUGG
rnacentral:lncRNA from 1 species